AAGGUCCGGCAACUGAAAUCUCGGAGAACUGUUUCCUAACCCGGUCCUUAAUUAGGAGGCCCCCAGACAGUCUGUCACGCUGGGGACGUCACCAUGUAAACAAACGUUUGUAUCACAGAAACUUAAAAUGGCACAAAUGAAAAUUUCAACGGCACAAAUGAUUGAGUCAAGUUUUGUUAAAAUCUGAAACAUAAGGGGGGGGGGCAACCACGCAGCUGCUCCUUCUUUGCGCCCACAGACAAGAAUGUUACUUGACUUAGGCUAAGUGGCACGAAAUAUUAUACUUGCCUAAAAGAAGGAAUCAAAUAUCAUCUCAGAUUCCUUGACAUAUUUUUCACCUGCCUUGAAUUUCACUAUUUCACUGUAAGCAACAUGUUGUUAAUGUUCUCAGUGUUUGCAGAAAAAAAGCGACUGCAAACUGCACCAAAGCAAAAUACAAAUGUUAACUGCAUACUUAUCUCUGAAUGAUCUGAGGAGAAAUCUGUCACUGUUGAUAAAAAUGCAAUUUUUAUAUGUAACAUUUUUUUCCCCUCAAAACCAAACAUUUUGCCACAGACACGUUUGUCCAUGUAGGGACAGGCUGGCGAUCCCUGGUGCCAGCGGAUCGAUCAACGAUUUUCCCAUUAACAGUUUUUCUUUCGGAUCCGAACACAACGCACGAACAUGAAAGGGUCGUAGAAGAAUGGAAGUAUAUGGUUUGCAUUUGUAACCAACCCCUCCGCAAACCCCCCAGCGGAAUACUGGCCGCGGAACGGGGUGAAAAUCCCUAAGCUGGAAGACUGUACUGCGUCGUGUUAAGCAUGAAUACAGAGUGAACUGGACUAAAACUAUAAAGGACGUAAGGAGACUGUCAGAUAUAAAUUAACGAUGCAAAAUUAUCAAACCAAGACAGACACAACACUGAAGAGAAGAUAAAGACACAGUUUGAAUAGUACACCAGUGGAGUGGGCGUCCAGAUUGAAGGCUCCCUGGCUUGGAGUAGGCCGUUCAAGGUAAGUCAUUGACAAGAAGCAGUAGGUUCCGGUGUAAAGUCCUGGUUUUCUUCUGAACUCCCAAUUCUGGUGCAACUACAUACACGAGACUGCUUGCCACCUGCUCCUUUACAAUAUGACCUCACCCUGUCGACUCCUGCCGUGUACAAUUGUAAGCAUGAAUCACCUGCGGCAAGUAGUCCUUCCAGUGUGUCUUCUCCUUGUCUCCCAGUGUUCGCAACAUCUGUAGGAGUGUUCUAUUAAGCCUUUCAACUGGAUUGCUCCGUGGAUGAUAUCAUAUGGAGAUGUCCUGGAGUGGCCUACCCCAGACAAUCGUUGAAGGUUUUGGAACAGUUCGUUCUCGAAUUCACGACCUUGGUCGUGAUGCAACUUCGAAGG